GGCCUGGGGGUGAGGGGGGGACCCUAAGCAGAGCCUGGGGGUGAGGAGAGUCCCCCAGGCAGGGUCUGGGGGUGAGGGGGGACCCUUUGCAGGGCCUGGGGGCACUGAGGGGUCCCCCUGACAGGACCCAGCCCAGCUGCCUGCCCUGUGCGGUGAGGGUCUUUGCCCGGUCUGGGGUGGCACCGAGGAAACGGAGGGGGAAAGAGCCCCUGGCUCUCUCCCUGCUUCCUCCUGGAUUAGACGCAACUCAAGAAGCCACUGCCGUGUUCAUGCAUAAAAGAUCAAUGGAAAUGAUUGCUUGAUGGGGUUUGAAUCACGCUGCUGCUGUGGGACUUCAGACAUAAAAGGAACAAAAGUAAAGCUCUUCAGCGAGGUAUGGAUCAGCUGCUGCGCGCAGGCCUGUUGUCACAACCCCCUGCCCAAGAUCCACCAGCAGAAGGUGCAGUCAGAGGUCUGGAGCUGUGUAUGGAGAAGGAACCUCGUUGCCGCUGAACGGGGCGGCCGAGAGCAGCCCUGGCCCUGCAGCCCGAAACUCCAGCGUGGCACCUUCCGCGCGUGAACGCGAACGAAGAGGGGCGACGAACGUGGAGGGAGCGUUGGCCGCCGAUACGAGCGUGUCCCGUCGCCCCUGCAGUGUGCAACGUGUCCGCCGACCGAGUACACCCAGACGGCCGCAGCCGAAGAGCCUGCCCCAACGAGCAGGACCUGCGAGACCACCCCGUCGCCCGGCAGGAGCCUCCUUCCAGCCCGGAGCAAACACAUGUGGAAAGCCUGAGCCGGCUCCCCUGCCCUCUGCAGCCUCCUUCCCCGGGGACACCAUGGACACCGAAGCCGUGCAGCCCCAGGAGGCCUCGCUGACGGUCAACGAGCAGGUCAUCGUGAUGUCCAGCCACGAGACGAUCCGUGUGCUGGAGGUCGGCGUGGACGCCCCGCUCCCGGCCGAGGAGGACCGGAAAGCCUUGGA
rnacentral:lncRNA from 1 species